rnacentral:lncRNA from 1 species
UACAGUAGCCUUUUAUUGCCUCUGCGUCCAUGCACUCAGCAGAGUGAGCAACAUGGUAGGAGAAGCGCAAGAAAAUUAAUCGAAAGCUGGAGGGCUUUGAAGGUGUGAUGGAGUCACUGAACUUUGCUAGCCCUUUCUGGAAUACACCUAAGCCAACUCAAAAACAUAUGUAUUUUACAUGGGUAAACAAGUGACUAGAGAUAGUGCAGGAUAUGUUUCCAUUCAACUGCGUUACGGUACUAUUUAUAGCACUGUGGAUUAACAAAUGAGUCAUCCUGCCAAUAAUAUUCCAGCUGAAUAACAAUAACUAUUCCACAUGCUUAUUUCUGUUUUUUUUUUUUUUUAAUUUAUUUUCUUGUUUGUUUGCUUUCAAAAAGCUUUUUCUGGGUGGAAUCCUAUUGUUUAUGUAAGCGUUAACCAAAUACGUAAAUAAAUAACAGUGCAAAAAACUUUGAAUUUUGUUGUUGUGGAUUUUUUUUUUUGGUUGUUUUCUUUUGUUUUGUUUUUCAGGACCAAGUGAACUGCAUAAUUCAGGAGCAGGCUGCAGUGGCUUUCCUGAGAUCUGAAUGGUCAGAAUCUAAUCCUCUCAUCACCUGAACAACUCGCAGACAGCAGUGGUCUCUUUGAAAAUCUGGUCCAUGCUGCUGCUUGCUGGGCCUUGAGGCAACACAGUUACAUUGAAGAGCCUCUGGCAAUGCUGGCUUACACAGAAACUCAAGAACUGCCAUGUGCCUGACAUCAUACCUUUGGAAGAAAAGAGAAGUCCUGGGUGUUAGCCCAAGACUGGUGAGUAAAACAUAGUCCACGGACUAGAGUCAGUUUAUGUUUGUUAGUGAUUUUCAGGCCUGUCACACCCAGUAUCUUCGCCCUGUAAAUCUGUCAC